AUCUUUGCGCAGUGGCAAUAUCGUAACCAAUGAAGUAGAGCCAAGGUGCGAUUAUUGCUAGUUGAAAUUUUUUUUUUUAAUACCCCGCCAGAGAGACGUGAAAUACCGUCUCUGUGGCAAUUUUUGGCAGCCUCUGAGAGG